GAUGAACGCUGGCGGCGUGCCUAAUACAUGCAAGUCGAACGCUUCACUUAUGUGAAGAGUGGCGAACGGGUGAGUAAUACAUAAGUAACCUGGCCUUUACAGGGGGAUAACUAUUGGAAACGAUAGCUAAGACCGCAUAGGUGUGCAGAUCGCAUGAAGUGCACAGGAAAUAUGCUACGGCAUAGGUAGAGGAUGGACUUAUGGCGCAUCAGCUAGUUGGAGGGGUAACGGCCCACCAAGGCGACGAUGCGUAGCCGACCUGAGAGGGUGACCGGCCACACUGGGACUGAGACACGGCCCAGACUCCUACGGGAGGCAGCAGUAGGGAAUUUUCGGCAAUGGGGGAAACCCUGACCGAGCAACGCCGCGUGAAGGAAGAAGUAAUUCGUUAUGUAAACUUCUGUCAUAGAGGAAGAACGGUGCGUGUAGGGAAUGACAUGCAAGUGACGGUACUCUAUAAGAAAGCCACGGCUAACUACGUGCCAGCCGCCGCGGUAA
rnacentral:rRNA from 1 species